rnacentral:rRNA from 1 species
UCAGGAUGAACGCUGGCGGCGUGCCUAACACAUGCAAGUCGAACGAAGCAUACGGACUGGAGAUUCGUCGAAGGACCGUAUGACUUAGUGGCGGACGGGUGAGUAAUGUAUGAGCAACCUGCCUUUCAGAGGGGGACAACAGUUGGAAACGACUGCUAAUACCGCGUAACGUAUCGUGGGGGCAUCCUCGUGAUACCAAAGGAGCAAUCCGCUGAAAGAUGGGCUCAUAUCUGAUUAGCUUGUUGGCGGGGUAACGGCCCACCAAGGCGACGAUCAGUAGCCGGACUGAGAGGUUGAACGGCCACAUUGGGACUGAGAUACGGCCCAGACUCCUACGGGAGGCAGCAGUGGGGAAUAUUGGGCAAUGGGCGAAAGCCUCGACCCAGCAACGCCGCGUGAAGGAAGAAGGUCUUCGGAUUGUAAACUUCUUUUAUGAGGGACGAAGGACGUGACGGUACCUCAUGAAUAAGCCACGGCUAACUACGUGCCAGCCGCCGC